CACGUAGGGCGCGAGCGUUGUCCGGAAUUAUUGGGCGUAAAGAGCUCGUAGGCGGCCUGUUGCGUCCGCUGUGAAAGCCCGGGGCUUAACCCCGGGUCGGCAGUGGAUACGGGCAGGCUGGAGGCAGGCAGGGGAGAAUGGAAUUCCUGGUGUAGCGGUGAAAUGCGCAGAUAUCAGGAGGAACACCGGUGGCGAAGGCGGUUCUCUGGGCCUUACCUGACACUGAGGAGCGAAAGCGUGGGGAGCGAACAGG
rnacentral:rRNA from 1 species